UCGUGGAGUGAUCUGUCUGCUUAAUUGCGUUUCAGAAAAUAGGUUCUUAGAGGUAUUGUUGUAUGGUGUGAUUUUUUUUCAUAGCUUCGGUUAUGUUAAAAAGUCCCUAUACACAGCCCUUGAACCUUGAAGGUAACGAACGUGACCGCAACCUCUUGUUGCCUUCCUUGUAUCAUUUGAUACACUGCUACCUCGCGAUUUUUCCUUUUGGAAAAUCGUAAGGACUAGUAGAGAGGAGUGCAAAACUAGAGGGACCGCCGACCUUUUUAAAACGGAGGAAGGUUGCGGCAAUAACA
rnacentral:rRNA from 1 species